rnacentral:rRNA from 1 species
AAUAGAUACCCCAGGUAGUCCACGCCGUAAACGAUGAGUGCUAAGUGUUAGAGGGUUUCCGCCCUUUAGUGCUGCAGCUAACGCAUUAAGCACUCCGCCUGGGGAGUACGGCCGCAAGGCUGAAACUCAAAGGAAUUGACGGGGGGCCCGCACAAGCGGUGGAGCAUGUGGUUUAAUUCGAAGCAACGCGAAGAACCUUACCAGGUCUUGACAUCCUCUGACACUCCUAGAGAUAGGACUUUCCCCUUCGGGGGACAGAGUGACAGGUGGUGCAUGGUUGUCGUCAGCUCGUGUCGUGAGAUGUUGGGUUAAGUCCCGCAACGAGCGCAACCCUUGAUCUUAGUUGCCAGCAUUCAGUUGGGCACUCUAAGGUGACUGCCGGUGACAAACCGGAGGAAGGUGGGGAUGACGUCAAAUCAUCAUGCCCCUUAUGACCUGGGCUACACACGUGCUACAAUGGAUGGUACAAAGGGCAGCGAAGCCGCGAGGUGGAGCCAAUCCCAUAAAACCAUUCUCAGUUCGGAUU